CAGUAAGGUUCUCUGAUUGGAUAGAUGGCUAUCAGCCAAUCAAUCAGAUAAUCCACAAUCUGCUGUCAGACUAGAAAUACGCUGAGUACCCGUUUUAACGGGUGUCUUUUUCCGUUAUAACUUUUAGUUUUGGGCUAUGUCUUAGACUAGGGAAACUCGGGGGAAGGGUACGCGCUAUUCAUUCAGAGAGGUUCUGCAGUUCCCCGUGGGCGGUGUCAACGGGCUGCUCAGCAAGGGCAACGAUGCCGAGAGGGUCGGGGGCUGCACGCUAGCGUACCUGCCGGCGGUUCUGGAGUACCUGGCCUCCGACACCCUGGAGUUGGCGGGCAACGCCGUCGGAACAAGAAGAAGACCCGCAUCAUCCCGCGCCACCUGCAGCUGGCCAUCCGCAACGACAAGGAGCUCGACAAGCUGCUGGCCCGAGUGACAAUGGCUUAGGGUGACGUUUUGCCCAACAUCCAAGCUGUGCUGCUGUCCCAAAGGAUUGGGAGCCACUACCACAAAGUCCAGUAUGAAUAACCACCCAAGUUGUAAAAGCCAGCGAAGUGACUUGAAUGUCUAAUGUCUAGAAGAAACAAAAACAAAAACAAAAACAAAAACCCCAAAGCUGAAAUCAAAGGCCCUUUUCAGAGCCACUCAAUUUCUGAGAAAGAGCUAGUUUACAAAAGGAUUACAAAAUGCUGUUUCGUCAAUAAGACUACAGCUUUCGUAAACAGGACUCAGAACAGUUCUGGUUAUUGGGGUAUCCGAAGCAGUUUCCUUUAAUACUCGGUAGUAUUGACAGCAGAACUUGAUGUUUCUGGGUGGAACUGUUUCAGCACCUACUUCAGGCUUUUGCAUUUCUGAUGACUGGAUGGCCCCACUGGAUCCAUGACUCUUGACUCAACUGGUCCUAUGGCCACUACUCAGAAGUGGACUCAGCUUCAGGAAGGCCAUUUUCCCUAUCCCUAUGAUUGCUUUCUCAACCAAUCAGCAGCACCCAUUCCCUAGCCCCCUGCUUGCCAAACUAUCUUUGAAAAACCCUAGCCUCCAAAUUUUCGGGGAGGUUAGUUUGAGUAGUAAUAAAACUCUAGUCUCCCUUCUAGCCUGUUUUACAUGUAUUAAACUGUUUCUCUAUUGCAAUUUCCUUAUAUUGAUAAAUUGGCUUUAUCUGGGCAGCAGGCAAAAGAAACCCAUUGGGUGGUUACAACUGCUAUUACAACCAGUAAUAUAUGACCAUCAUAUGGCAC
rnacentral:lncRNA from 1 species